UUCCAUACAGGAAGAUCACACCAUCCCUCACUGUUACAAGAUGGUCGAUCCAAUCAAUAUUGAAUUUGGGUUUAAAGCAGAAGAAGAAGAGAGGUAUGAUCAGCAGUCUAUUGAGGAGGAUGGAACAACGGGGACAUUUAUAGAGGAGGACACUUCUACAGAGAUCAGCACAGUAGAUGGACGGGAGAUGAGGAAAACCUCAGAGGAUUG